rnacentral:rRNA from 1 species
CCGAAAGGCGUAGGUGAUGGACAACAGGUUGAUAUUCCUGUACUACCGAUAACCGUUUGAGAGAAGGGAUGACACAGUAGGAUAAGCUAAGCACACUGUUGGUUAUGUGUGCCCAAGCAUUGAGGCAGUCAAAGUAGGCAAAUCCGCUUUGAUAAUGCUGGGAUGUGAUGGGGAGCGAAAUUUAGUAGCGAAGUAGCUGAUUUCACACUGUCAAGAAAAGUCUCUAUCGAGGUUAAAGGUACCCGUACCGCAAACCGACACAGGUGGGUGAGGAGAGUAUCCUAAGGCCAGCGAGAGAACUGUUGUUAAGGAACUCGGCAAAAUGACCCCGUAACUUAGGGAUAAGGGGUGCCACCAUCAGGUGGCCGCAGAGAAUAGGCCCAAGCGACUGUUUACCAAAAACAUAGGUUUCUGCUAAGUCGCAAGACGAUGUAUAGGAGCUGACGCCUGCCCGGUGCUGGAAGGUUAAGGGGAUCUGUUAGAGCAAUCGAAGCAGUGAACUUAAGCCCCAGUAAACGGCGGCCGUAACUAUAACGGUCCUAAGGUAGCGAAAUUCCUUGUCGGGUAAGUUCCGACCCGCACGAAAGGCGUAACGAUUUGGGCACUGUCUCAACAACAGACUCGGUGAAAUUGUAAUUCCGGUGAAGAUGCCGGAUACCUGCGACAGGACGGAAAGACCCCAUGGAGCUUUACUGUAGCUUGACAUUGGGUCUUGGUACUACAUGUACAGGAUAGGUGGGAGGCUUUGAAACCAGGACGCCAGUUUUGGCGGAGCCAUCCUUGGGAUACCACCCUUGUAGUACUGGGACUCUAACCAUAGGCCAUGAAUCUGGUCUUGGGACACUGUCAGGUGGGCAGUUUGACUGGGGCGGUCGCCUCCCAAAAGGUAACGGAGGCGCUCAAAGGUUCUCUCAGUACGGUCGGAAAUCGUACGUAGAGUGUAAAGGCAAAAGAGAGCUUGAUUGCAAGACAUACAGGUCGAGCAAGGAUGAAAAUCGGACUUAGUGAUCCGGUGGUUCUGCGUGGAAGGGCCAUCGCUCAACGGAUAAAAGCUACCCUGGGGAUAACAGGCUUAUCUCCCCCAAGAGUCCACAUCGACGGGGAGGUUUGGCACCUCGAUGUCGGCUCAUCACAUCCUGGGGCUGUAGUAGGUCCCAAGGGUUGGGCUGUUCGCCCAUUAAAGUGGUACGCGAGCUGGGUUCAGAACGUCGUGAGACAGUUCGGUCCCUAUCCGUCGCAGGCGUAGGAAAUUUGAGAAGACCUGUCCUUAGUACGAGAGGACCGGGAUGGACGUACCUCUGGUGUACCAGUUGUCCUGCCAAGGGCAUGGCUGGGUAGCUAUGUACGGAAUGGAUAAGCGCUGAAAGCAUCUAAGCGCGAAGCCAACUUCAAGAUAAGAUUUCCCACCGCAAGGGUAAGACCCCAGAAAGACUAUCUGGUUGAUAGGUCGAAGGUGUAAGUGCAGCAAUGUAUUUAGCUUAUCGAUACUAAUAGGUCGAGGACUUGACC